rnacentral:rRNA from 1 species
UACGUAGGGGGCAAGCGUUGUCCGGAAUCAUUGGGCGUAAAGAGCGCGUAGGCGGCCCUGUAAGUCCGCUGUGAAAGUCAAGGGCUCAACCCUUGAAUGCCGGUGGAUACUGCAGGGCUAGAGUCCGGAAGAGGCGAGUGGAAUUCCUGGUGUGGCGGUGAAAUGCGCAGAUAUCAGGAGGAACACCAGUGGCGAAGGCGGUUCUCUGGGCAUUACCUGACGCUGAGGAGCGAAAGUGUGGGGAGCGAACAGG